CCUACGGGAGGCAGCAGUGGGGAAUAUUGCACAAUGGAGGAAACCCUGAUGCAGCGACGCCGCGUGAGUGAAGAAGGAAUUCGUUAUGUAAAGCUCUAUCAGCAGGGAAGAAAAUGACGGUACGUGAGUAAGAAGCCCCGGCCAAUUACGUGCCAGCAGCCGCGGUAAUACGUAGGGGGCAAGCGUUAUCCGGAUUUACUGGGUGUAAAGGGGGCGUAGACGGUAGGGCAAGUCUGGAGUGAAAGGCGGGGGCUCAACCCCCGGACUGCUCUGGAAACUGGACGGCUGGAGUGCAGGAGAGGUAAGUGGAAUUCCUAGUGUAGCGGUGAAAUGCGUAGAUAUUAGGAGGAACACCAGUGGCGAAGGCAGCUUACUGGACUGUAACUGACGUUGAGGCUCGAAAGCGUGGGGAGCAAACAGGAUUAGAUACCCGUGUAGUC
rnacentral:rRNA from 1 species